AAAAAAGGUAAGCUACUAAGAGCGAAUGGUGGAUGCCUUGACUGGUAAAGGCGAUGAAGGACGUACUAGACUGCGAUAAGCUACGGGGAGCUGUCAAGAAGCUUUGAUCCGUAGAUUUCCGAAUGGGGCAACCCAAUGUAUAGAGAUAUACAUUACCUAUAUAGGAGCGAACGAGGGGAAUUGAAACAUCUUAGUACCCUCAGGAAAAGAAAUCAAUAGAGAUUGCGUCAGUAGCGGCGAGCGAAAGCGCAAGAGGGCAAACCCAGUGCUUGCACUGGGGGUUGUAGGACUGCAAUGUGCAAGAGGUAAGUUUAGCAGAACAUUCUGGAAAGUAUAACCAUAGAGGGUGAUAGUCCCGUAUGCGAAAAACAAACCUUAGCUAGCAGUAUCCUGAGUAGGGCGGGACACGAGGAAUCCUGUCUGAAUCCGGGUCGACCACGAUCCAACCCUAAAUACUAAUACCAGAUCGAUAGUGCACAAGUACCGUGAGGGAAAGGUGAAAAGAACUGAGGUGAUCAGAGUGAAAUAGAACCUGAAACCAUUUGCUUACAAUCAUUCAGAGCCCUAUGUAGCAAUACAGGGUGAUGGACUGCCUUUUGCAUAAUGAGCCUGCGAGUUGUGGUGUCUGGCAAGGUUAAGCAAACGCGAAGCCGUAGCGAAAGCGAGUCUGAAUAGGGCGCUUAGUCAGAUGCUGCAGACCCGAAACGAAGUGAUCUAUCCAUGAGCAAGUUGAAGCUAGUGUAAGAACUAGUGGAGGACUGAACCCAUAGGCGUUGAAAAGCCCCGGGAUGACUUGUGGAUAGGGGUGAAAGGCCAAUCAAACUUCGUGAUAGCUGGUUCUCUCCGAAAUAUAUUUAGGUAUAGCGUUGUGUCGUAAUAUAAGGGGGUAGAGCACUGAAUGGGCUAGGGCAUACACCAAUGUACCAAACCCUAUCAAACUCCGAAUACCUUAUAUGUAAUCACAGCAGUCAGGCGGCGAGUGAUAAAAUCCGUCGUCAAGAGGGAAACAACCCAGACUACCAGCUAAGGUCCCUAAAUCUUACUUAAGUGGAAAACGAUGUGAAGUUACUUAAACAACCAGGAGGUUGGCUUAGAAGCAGCCAUCCUUUAAAGAAAGCGUAAUAGCUCACUGGUCUAGUGAUUUUGCGCGGAAAAUAUAACGGGGCUAAAGUAAGUACCGAAGCUGUAGACUUGCACACAACUUAGAUUAUUUAAGUUUAGAAUAUGAGAAACUAAGUUAUAUGUUUAGUUAUAUUUUUACUGAUUUUUAUAGAGUAAAGAUAGAAAUAAAACUUAGUAAAAUCAGUAAAAAUAUUCUUAGACUAAAGUUAAGUAGUUUAAGUUGUGUGCAAGUGGUAGGAGAGCGUUCUAUUUGCGUCGAAGGUAUACCGGUAAGGAGUGCUGGAGCGAAUAGAAGUGAGCAUGCAGGCAUGAGUAGCGAUAAUUAAUGUGAGAAUCAUUAACGCCGUAAACCCAAGGUUUCCUACGCGAUGCUCGUCAUCGUAGGGUUAGUCGGGUCCUAAGUCGAGUCCGAAAGGGGUAGACGAUGGCAAAUUGGUUAAUAUUCCAAUACCAACAUUAGUGUGCGAUGGAAGGACGCUUAGGGCUAAGGGGGCUAGCGGAUGGAAGUGCUAGUCUAAGGUCGUAGGAGGUUAUACAGGCAAAUCCGUAUAACAAUACUCCGAGAACUGAAAGGCUUUUUGAAGUCUUCGGAUGGAUAGAAGAACCCCUGAUGCCGUCGAGCCAAGAAAAGUUUCUAAGUUUAGCUAAUGUUGCCCGUACCGUAAACCGACACAGGUGGGUGGGAUGAGUAUUCUAAGGCGCGUGGAAGAACUCUCUUUAAGGAACUCUGCAAAAUAGCACCGUAUCUUCGGUAUAAGGUGUGGUUCGCUUCGUAUUAGGAUUUACUCCGAAAGCGAAGAAACUUACAACAAAGAGUCCCUCCCGACUGUUUACCAAAAACACAGCACUCUGCUAACUCGUAAGAGGAUGUAUAGGGUGUGACGCCUGCCCGGUGCUCGAAGGUUAAUUGAUGGGGUUAGCAUUAGCGAAGCUCUUGAUCGAAGCCCGAGUAAACGGCGGCCGUAACUAUAACGGUCCUAAGGUAGCGAAAUUCCUUGUCGGUUAAAUACCGACCUGCAUGAAUGGCGUAACGAGAUGGGAGCUGUCUCAAAGAGGGAUCCAGUGAAAUUGUAGUGGAGGUGAAAAUUCCUCCUACCCGCGGCAAGACGGAAAGACCCCGUGGACCUUUACUACAGCUUGACACUGCUACUUGGAUAAGAAUGUGCAGGAUAGGUGGGAGGCUUUGAGUAUAUGACGCCAGUUGUAUAUGAGCCAUUGUUGAGAUACCACUCUUUCUUAUUUGGGUAGCUAACCAGCUUGAGUUAUCCUCAAGUGGGACAAUGUCUGGUGGGUAGUUUGACUGGGGCGGUCGCCUCCCAAAUAAUAACGGAGGCUUACAAAGGUUGGCUCAGAACGGUUGGAAAUCGUUCGUAGAGUAUAAAGGUAUAAGCCAGCUUAACUGCAAGACAUACAAGUCAAGCAGAGACGAAAGUCGGUCUUAGUGAUCCGGUGGUUCUGUGUGGAAGGGCCAUCGCUCAAAGGAUAAAAGGUACCCCGGGGAUAACAGGCUGAUCUCCCCCAAGAGCUCACAUCGACGGGGAGGUUUGGCACCUCGAUGUCGGCUCAUCGCAUCCUGGGGCUGGAGCAGGUCCCAAGGGUAUGGCUGUUCGCCAUUUAAAGCGGUACGCGAGCUGGGUUCAGAACGUCGUGAGACAGUUCGGUCCCUAUCUGCCGUGGGCGUAAGAAGAUUGAAGAGAUUUGACCCUAGUACGAGAGGACCGGGUUGAACAAACCACUGGUGUAGCUGUUGUUCUGCCAAGAGCAUCGCAGCGUAGCUAAGUUUGGAAAGGAUAAACGCUGAAAGCAUCUAAGCGUGAAGCCAACUCUAAGAUGAAUCUUCUCUAAGCUCUCUAGAAGACUACUAGUUUGAUAGGCUGGGUGUGUAAUGGAUGAAAGUCCUUUAGCUGACCAGUACUAAUAGAGCGUUUGGCUUAUCUUUAAUAAAGCAU
rnacentral:rRNA from 2 species